UCAACAUCAGAUCAGCUGGGAUAGAUUUCAGGUGAAAAAGGGGGAGCAUUGCGCACAUCUGGAGCCACAAAGAUGGUUCAUCAUUCAUAAAGCUCUCUCAAUUCUCACACUGAGAUGUUACACACUACCACUACUACUAGGAUAACCGCUACUACUACUACUUGGUAACAUCACAGCUGCUACUAGGCAAGAAGAAAGAACAAAGCCGCUAAAGCUGGCGCGAAGAACAGCAGCUGCUGCUGCUGCAGCUGCAUCAUCAUCGUUCAUUCAUUCGUUAUUCAACAACUAA
rnacentral:lncRNA from 1 species